rnacentral:misc_RNA from 1 species
GAUGAAGAACGCAGCGAAAUGCGAUAAGUAAUGUGAAUUGCAGAAUCCCGUGAACCAUCGAGUCUUUGAACGCAAGUUGCGCCCGAAGCCAUUAGGCCGAGGGCACGCCUACCUGGGUGUCACACACCGUUACCCUCGCGCCAACGUCCAUCGUUGGCCGCGGCGCGGGGCGUGCGCUGACCUCCCGCGAGCGGGGUCUCGUGGUUGGUUGAAAAUCGAGUUCGCGGUCGAGGGUGCCGUGAUGAAGUGGUGGAUGGGCGACGCCCGAGGCCAAUCACGCGCGACUCUGUCCGGCUCGGACUCCUGGACCCCUUCGGCGUCUCCGGACGCUCUUUGGCGAGACCUCAGGUCAGGCGGGGCUACCCGCUGAGUUUAAGCAUAUCAAUAAGCGGAGGA